AGCUUUGCGCAGUGGCAGUAUCGUAGCCAAUGAGGUUUAUCCGAGGCGCGAUUAUUGCUAAUUGAAAACAUUUGAACUUCUUUCAAAGGUAUAAACAGGACUUACAAAAGUGUA
rnacentral:snRNA from 1 species